UGGCUCAGUUGGUAGAGCAUGGUGUUUGCAAUGCCAGCAUGGUGUGCCCCCCGUGGGUUCAAUUCCCAC
rnacentral:tRNA from 1 species